rnacentral:rRNA from 1 species
GAUGAACGCUGGCGGCGUGCCUAAUACAUGCAAGUCGAGCGAACAGACGAGGAGCUUGCUCCUCUGACGUUAGCGGCGGACGGGUGAGUAACACGUGGAUAACCUACCUAUAAGACUGGGAUAACUUCGGGAAACCGGAGCUAAUACCGGAUAAUAUAUUGAACCGCAUGGUUCAAUAGUGAAAGACGGUUUUGCUGUCACUUAUAGAUGGAUCCGCGCCGCAUUAGCUAGUUGGUAAGGUAACGGCUUACCAAGGCAACGAUGCGUAGCCGACCUGAGAGGGUGAUCGGCCACACUGGAACUGAGACACGGCCCAGACUCCUACGGGAGGCAGCAGUAGGGAAUCUUCCGCAAUGGGCGAAAGCCUGACGGAGCAACGCCGCGUGAGUGAUAAAGGUCUUCGGAUCGUAAACCUCUGUUAUGAGGGAAGAACAAAUGUGUAAGUAACUAUGCACGUCUUGACGGUACCUAAUCAGAAAGCCACGGCUAACUACGUG